rnacentral:rRNA from 1 species
AUACGGGGGGUGCAAGCGUUGUCCGGAAUCAUUGGGCGUAAAGGGCUCGUAGGUGGAAUUAUAAGUCUGGUGUGAAAGCCCACAGCUCAACUGUGGAACUGCACUGGAUACUGUUUUUCUUGAGUUAUAGAGGGGUUUGUGGAAUUUCUGGUGUAGAGGUGAAAUUUGUAGAGAUCAGAAAGAACACCGGUGGCGAAGGCGACAAACUGGCUAUUAACUGACACUGAGGAACGAAAGCGUGGGGAGCGAACAGGAUUAGAAACCCUAGUAGUCC